ensembl:lincRNA
CUUUCAGAUUGGUUUUCCAUAUGAAUAAGAGUACAGAUGGACAAGUAAUGUGUAAAAACCUUUUCUGAGUGAAUACCCUAAGUCCACACUCACUUGUUCUGUGACCUUAGGCAAGUAGCAUAAUUUUGCUAAUUUUCAAUUUCAUUUGUAUUUUUUAAUGGAGAAAAUAAGAAUAGUUUUCUCAACAUACUGUUAUAAAAUUAAAUGAGAUUAUACAGGCAAAUCAUUUGGUCUAGGGUGUGCUCUUCAGCCCUUUUCUUUUCAUUAUCACUCCCACCAAUGUCCUGUUUGAGAGUUUUUUCCCAACUAACCCUACUUUCCAAUGAUAAUUUAAUACCAGAGAUAUACUGUGUGUGUCUUUAGGCACUGUAUGUUUGUUUAUAUCUGCUUUGGUCAGAUUUUUAUGCAUAAAAUACAGUAAGAUGUUCUUUUUACCACCUAAGAAGCCAUGUUCACCCCCUUAAGGGGUGAUGUCUUCCCACUGAGAAGCUGUGGCCAAGAGUCUGGCACUUGGCACUUGUGACAUUUUAGGAAAUAGAAUAAUGAUAAGAAGAAAACUAAAAUAAAUAUGAUUCUGUGUCCCUAGACUAAAGAAAAGUGGGGCCGUUUUGGUACAAAGAUGACAGAGGAUACUGACACCCAGGAAGCCAAAGCCUGAAUCCAAUAGAGGCUGGGAUGGGGUGGGCAGGAACCUCAAGCACCUUCUAAGGGAUGAGGAAAGGCAACAGCCAAAGCCAUGCAGUAGUGGGAAAAGGGCAACUGACACUCUUAACCAGGCAGCGAAGGCUAUGACUACGUGCACAGGUAGAGAAGAGACAAUACCACAGCUCCGGGAGAUGCUCUGGAUGCAGUUCUCCUUGCCCAGCUCUCCUCUCCUCACUUCUGUUCCACUCAAGUCUCACCUUUCUAUCCUGUCCACCAACAUCCUAGUCCCUUUAGGCAGUCUGCAGCUGAAAGGGUCUGGAUUCACAAAGGACCUUCUGCAGAGCAAUCGCAACAAUUCCAAAGUAUCAAGUGUGGCUCCAAUAGGAAUGCUUUGCUCCCAAGAGUCAAUUAAUAACAGAAAGACAGCACCUGAUCCAAGUCCGUCCAGACUGCUGUCUCUGCUGUCACCAUCCUGCAGACCGAUGGAGGCCAGGAAUAAGUGGGCUUUCUCAUCCUUCUCUGUCUCCCUCAUUAUAAGAGGGAGAUGUGGUCUGGAGUAAAUGGGAACUACUUCUACAAGGCACAUUACACCAGGUACUGAAAGACAAACAAGGAACAUGCAAAAGAAAUGGCACUGUGAAGGCAGAAGAAAAGCCAGCAAAGGCACCCUCUUCACACAAGCAUGCAUGCAGGGUGAGGGUGGCCAGGGUAAGAGCCUCCUGUGACAGCAGCUGCAGGGCGAUCAGAGAAGCACUUCACCACAGCCCGCUCAGAGAUGGAACCAUGAGUUAACUGAUCUGAGCAUCUCAGGAAGUGAUCUGUGGAAAUCAAUUUUUGAAUCUGUACAAAGAAAGUCUGUGUUUUCAAAGUAUUUAUCCCAUAUACCCUUCUUUUAGUAAUUCUUUUUGGUACAACAAAACCAGGAAAAGAUAAAAUCAAGCUAUUCAAGGCAUUUAAAUGUAGAACUGAUGCUUUCCCUGUACUUUGGAGAACAUUGUACUUUAGGUUUUUAUCAAGACUUUGUACCUCUUAUGUAGAAAAGUUUUCAGCAAUCCUCAAACACCACUAAGAAAACUUGGGAGCCAUAACAAGGAUUCCGUUUCUCCUUUAUUAAUUCCCCCAGAUUGGCAGAGCUCUGGGCUACAGGGAGGAGAUCAUUUCAGUAUCUGAAGAGUUUCCCCUCGUACCCACUUCCACGAAGUUCUUAGUUCUUUCCCUUACCAUCAGCACCAGCC